rnacentral:rRNA from 1 species
UACGUAGGGGGCAAGCGUUGUCCGGAUUUAUUGGGCGUAAAGAGCGUGUAGGCGGCCAAGUAAGUCUGCUGUGAAAACUCGAGGCUCAACCUCGAGACGCCGAUGGAAACCAUGUGGCUAGAGUCCGGAAGAGGAGAGUGGAAUUCCUGGUGUAGCGGUGAAAUGCGCAGAUAUCAGGAAGAACACCCGUGGCUAAGGCGGCUCUCUAGUACGGUACUGACGCUGAGACGCGAAAGCGUGGGGAGCGAACAGG